rnacentral:rRNA from 1 species
AUUGAACGCUGGCGGCGUGCCUAACACAUGCAAGUCGAGCGGUAACAGGUGUAGCAAUACAUGCUGACGAGCGGCGAACGGGUGAGUAAUGCUUCGGAAUCUACCUUAUGGUGGGGAAUAACUAGCCGAAAGGUUAGCUAAUACCGCAUACGUCCUACGGGAGAAAGAAGGGGAUCGCAAGACCUUGCGCCAAAAGAUGAGCCGAAGUCGGAUUAGCUAGUUGGUAGGGUAACGGCCUACCAAGGCGACGAUCCGUAGCUGGUCUGAGAGGACGACCAGCCACACUGGGACUGAGACACGGCCCAGACUCCUACGGGAGGUAGCAGUGGGGAAUAUUGGACAAUGGGGGAAACCCUGAUCCAGCGACGCCGCGUGUGUGAAGAAGGCCUGCGGGUUGUAAAGCACUUUUAGUGGGGAUGAAAUGUGCAGGGUUAAUACCUCUGCAUUUUGACCUAACCCACAGAAAAAGCACCGGCUAACUCUGUGCCAGCCGCCGCGGUAA